ACUCCCAACGGAGGCUGUGAUGGGUAGGGGAGCGUCGUCUGCCGGGUGAAGCGGCACUGGAAGGUAGUCGUGGACGGUUGACGAGUGAGAAUGCAGGCAUGAGUAGCGAUACAAACGUGAGAAACGUUUGCGCCGAUUGACUAAGGGUUCCUGGGUCAAGCUGAUCUGCCCAGGGUAAGUCGGGACCUAAGGCGAGGCCGACAGGCGUAGUCGAUGGAUAACCGGUUGAUAUUCCGGUACCCGCUGUGAAGCGUCAAACAUCGAGCAUCGUGAUGCUAAGGCCGUGAAGCCGUUCCGGACCCUUCGGGGAAUGGAAAGUGGUGGAGCCGCCGAACCAAGCGGUUAGUAGGUGAGUGAUGGGGUGACGCAGGAAGGUAGUCCAUCCCGGGCGGUGGUUGUCCCGGGGUAAGGGUGUAGGACGCAGGGUAGGCAAAUCCGCCCUGCACACAGUCUGAGACCUGAUGCCGAGCCGAUUGUGGUGAAGUGGAUGAUCCUAUGCUGUCGAGAAAAGCCUCUAGCGAGUUUCAUGGCGGCCCGUACCCUAAACCGACUCAGGUGGUCAGGUAGAGAAUACCGAGGCGUUCGGGUGAACUAUGGUUAAGGAACUCGGCAAAAUGCCCCCGUAACUUCGGGAGAAGGGGGGCCACACUCGGUGAUGGGCUUUACGCCUUGAGCUGGGGGUGGCCGCAGAGACCAGCGAGAAGCGACUGUUUACUAAAAACACA
rnacentral:rRNA from 1 species